rnacentral:rRNA from 1 species
GCAUAUCAAUAAGCGGAGGAAAAGAAACCAACAGGGAUUGCCCUAGUAACGGCGAGUGAAGCGGCAACAGCUCAAAUUUGAAAUCUGGCGCAAGCCCGAGUUGUAAUUUGUAGAGGAUGCUUCGGGGCAGCGGCCGGUCUAAGUCCCUUGGAACAGGGCGUCAUAGAGGGUGAGAAUCCCGUAUGCGACCGGCUGGCACCCCACACGUAGCUCCUUCGACGAGUCGAGUUGUUUGGGAAUGCAGCUCUAAAUGGGAGGUAAAUUUCUUCUAAAGCUAAACACCGGCCAGAGACCGAUAGCGCACAAGUAGAGUGAUCGAAAGAUGAAAAGCACUUUGGAAAGAGAGUUAAACAGCACGUGAAAUUGUUGAAAGGGAAGCGCAUGCUACCAGACUUGCCGGCGGCGUUCACCCGGUCUUCUGACCGGGCCACUCGUCGUCGGCAGGCCAGCAUCACUUGGGGCCGCCGCAGAAAGGCGGAGGGAAUGUAGCUCUUCGGAGUGUUAUAGCCCCUCGCACAAUUCGGCGCGCCCCGGGUGAGGUCCGCGCUUCGGCUAGGAUGCUGGCGUAAUGGUCGUAUGCGGCCCGUCUUGAAACACGGACCAAGGAGUCUACCAUCUAUGCGAGUGUUCGGGUGUCAAACCCCUACGCGCAAUGAAAGUGAACGGAGGUGGGAACCUUUACCGGUGCACCAUCGACCGAUCCUGAUGUCUUCGGAUGGAUUUGAGUAAGAGCAUAGCUGGUGGGACCCGAAAGAUGGUGAACUAUGCCUGAAUAGGGUGAAGCCAGAGGAAACUCUGGUGGAGGCUCGCAGCGGUUCUGACGUGCAAAUCGAUCGUCAAAUUUGGGUAUAGGGGCGAAAGACUAAUCGAACCAUCUAGUAGCUGGUUCCUGCCGAA